ACCUGCUGAGUUUAAGCAUAUAAAUAAGCGGAGGAGAAGAAACUUACAAGGAUUCCCCUAGUAACGGCGAGCGAACCGGGA
rfam:Triticum aestivum genome assembly, contig: Triticum_aestivum_CS42_TGACv1_scaffold_515851_6BS